GCUAGGAAUAUUGGACAAUGGGCGAAAGCCUGAUCAAGCCAUGCCGCGUGAACGAUGAAGGCCUUCGGGUUGUAAAGUUCUUUAGCCGAUGAUUAUAAUGACUGUAGCCGGAAAAUAAGCCCCGGCUAACUUCGUGCCAGCAGCCGCGGUAAUACGAAGGGGGCGAGCGUUAUUCGGAAUCACUGGGCGUAAAGCGUGCGUAGGCGGUUUUGUAAGUUAGGCGUGAAAGCCGAGGGCUCAACCUUGGAAUUGCUCUUAAAACAGCAAGGCUCGAAUCUCGGAGAGGAUAGCGGAAUUUCCAGUGUAGCAGUGAAAUGCGUAGAUAUUGGAAGGAACACCAGUGGCGUAAGCGGCUAUCUGGACGAGUAUUGACGCUGAAGCACGAAAGCGUGGGGAUCAAACAGGAUUAGAAACCCUUGUAGUCC
rnacentral:rRNA from 1 species